AUUUGAGUCAUUACAGUAAAACAUGGAUUAUAAGUUUAUUAUACGCGUAAGAGAAGAUUUUCUGUCGAAAAAAGGAAUGUCAACAAUCGGCAUGGAACUGGGAUAUUCGUAUCAAAGGGCUAUGUAUGUAGGAAAAUGACUGAAUAUUACUAAGUCAACAAAUUGGGGUUAUGAAGAAUUCCAGCCUGCAUUAAAUACUAUGUUGGAUCAUUGAGACAGAUUUGACAUCCAUGUCAUCCACAAGGCAGUCACAUCUGAUAGAGAUGAUCACUAAACAUUCUAGAUGGGUAAAGAACCUGAAGGGGCAUAAAAACCAAAUCAGCAUUAACUCAGCAUUGAGUAAUUAUCAUCUGUGCACACACUACAAGUACAAACGCAUGGGAAUAGACCAAACUUCAAAUGUUGAAGAGUGAACACUUAUUGUGAAAAAUUCUAAAUGUUAGAAUACCAUUGACAAAAUAAAACAAAUAGACAUCGAUUACCUACAGAGACUGUUUAAAUGUUAUAAUAUUAAAAAGACAAAUUACUCUGACAUUUUUGGAGGUGCAUAACCGCCUACAUGUACAUAGUGCUCUUGUUUGUUUUAAGAGACAUGAGGAUAUUUCGAGAUGUUUGGGGCCUGCUAUGAAUGAUAAAAGGUUUAUGAAAUAAGUUAAAAUAAUAUGCGGCGACGAAGAGGCCAAAUAUGCAAAUGGGUAUAUUAGAAAGGAUCGUUAAUUGCUCUGUUACAUAGGUUGAUGCCAUUUUUUAAAUUUAAAUGCAAGAUCAUCUUUAACUCAUUCGACUUUAAUCAUUAAAACAAAAACAAAAACACAUAUGAUUUAAGUACAGAUAAAAAAUAGCCUUAUAAAUGUUUUAUUUAGUUAUA